rnacentral:lncRNA from 1 species
GAUCCAUCUGUGGCUGAGAUUCAGGCCAGUGUCCGAUGAGAGUAGAUGCCUUCCACCCGUGCAUGAGGUCCUAGACUUGAGUGUCUGGAUGUCAGCCGGGGGAUGGAUUGGUUUUCUACUUGUGGAACUGGUAAUACUUGCGUCUGCAGCGCAAGGUGGUCGGGAUCGAAAUGCAGGAUGGGUCUGAGGUAGACUUCAGAGGGGACCAAGUAGGAUGCCUAGGAGUUUGAUGACAGCUGUCAGGCUCGUAGAGUGUAUGGGAAUGGUUAGUAGAGAGUUUUAGUUGAGUUUGAGAGGGCAGCAGGCAGGUCUAGGAACCAGCCCUAGUGCCAUAGAUAGAGCGAGUGUUCAGAGGUUUCAGGCUAGUGUCAGGUUGGCCAUCAAUCAGGGAGGUAGAGUUUGGUUCAGAGGUGGUGCUUGGUACCCAUAACCAUUUCUCUCUUUCCUUUCGGGAUGGCACCUGCAGAGAGUAAGAGUAUAGCAGAGAAAAGUAAGA